AAAACAUAGUCUGUAGUUUUUUAUUGUAGAUUACAUCUGCUCAAUGAUUAAUAAAAAUUAAAUGGCCGCAGUACUUUGACUGUGCUAAGGUAGCAAAAUAAUUUGACUUUUAAUUGGGGCCCUGCAUGAAUGAAUAAAUGGUUAAAAUUUGUCUCUUUUGUUUACUUAAAAAUUUACUUAGUUGGUGAAAAUUCCAACAUCAAUAUAUUAGACGAGAAGACCCUUAGAAUUUAAAAAAAUAAGAUAACUUUACGUUUUUCCUUUUUUGUUGGGGCGACAUUAUAAACACUAAAUAUAGAAAAACUUAUAGAACUACUUUUACAAGACUAAUAGUUAAAAAUGAAUAUAAUUACCUUAGGGAUAACAGCAAAAUAUUUUUUUUAGUUUGUGACCUCGAUGUUGGAUUAGGGUCAAAAAUGGUUAAAAAUUAUUUUUGUUAUUUCUGUUCGAAAUUAUUUACCUACGUGAUCU
rnacentral:rRNA from 1 species